GGCUGGGCCCAUCGCGUGCCGGUUACAUUGCGGCCCAUUUUCAAUUGGAUUGGAGAAGGAGUUCCAUUUGUUCUGCGCGGCGGAGCGCUUCCGCCUCCGUUUUUCCGGCGAUGGACGCCGCCGGGGAGGGGGAAGCCCUCCCGCGACCAAGCAACGCAGUCUCCAGCCCCGACGCCGAAACGAGACUUUCCUCUCCACCAGGGCUUCAGCACGCAGAAACUAGGAUUGCUAAACUACAAAAGUGCAGCUUGAUGUUUUAAUUAUGAGUUCAUCAACACACAGCUUCUUCAGUAACACAGUGCCCAUGCUAGAAAAUUUGAUUGACAUCUAUAGGCAAAGGCUACUGACUGAAGGUCAUCCAUAUCAUGAUACCCACUCCCUUGCGUGGUGCAAGAAGGAUUGCUAUUGUUGUAGUAGUCAGGCAUGCAUAAAUCUUGCUCAUAACCUUCAGAAUGUUGAGUUGACGCUGAUGUGAAGCAGUCAUUUGCAAAGUAUAACUGCCUCUCACUCUUUACUGAAGAAUUGUUUGCCGUUGUUGGGUGAAAAACGAGCUGCCCAUCUUGAAUAGAAAAGAUGUGAGCAACACAGCCAUAUAUUGGAUCCUGAAGCCUAGCCUGUGCCUCAUAUGACAUAGUGACUGCAGCCUCGCAGCGGUCACUUAUCGGGAGAUGCAUUAGGAGCUUUGAGGCAUUGCUAGCCCCAAAGACCUUAUGUAUAGCAGCAAAGUGUGCAGCCCCUUGCUCAUGACUGAAAUAUGGAGCGAAGACACACCCCUUCACACACUUCCUCCGUAGGAACUUGCACGCACCACAUGGAGAGCUUGUUGCCAUUUCAUCAAGAGGAGGGAAAAAAUACAAGGAGAGAGGCUGAGCCAUCUCCCUAAACACCCAUUUUCUGAUAAACUUUACUCAUAUGCAAGUUAUGUUAAUCUCACCUCCUUUUGCUAGUUCAGUAUGGACAGAAAUAUCAAAAUGUGCUGAACAAAAUUUAUGUUUUCUAUGUUGUUGUCAUCUCUAAGUACAUGUUUAGAAGCUUUGCAUUUUGUUUCUGAGAUGGAUCACAUGAUUAUAUUAGAAUUAGAUAAUCACUUCCCAUCAAGUUUGUGUACCACCUAUAUGGCUAAACAGGUGGACCUCUGAUGAUAUUUAUUCUACUCUACUAGGCUGCCUAGACCACCACAAAUAUUAGCUUUAUUCAAUGUUGCUGUUUUUUUGGUGCUAUUGUAGUACUAAGUACUAACACCAGUUAGUUUAUUUAGUUAGAACCUUAUGGAGGCCACACUGCUCAUUAUGUAAAUUGUGGUGCUUCUGCUUGGCAAUUUGCAGAAAUAAUGAUAAAGCUUGCCCACAGCAAGUGUGCCACUUUCCAGACUAAUGAAAGUAUAUAAAGGAAAUGAAAUGAUCAGUUGUGACUACCUGCCACACCAGUGGCAUGUAUUUAGCCUUUACUAUCAUUCUCCUCUUCCCAACUAAAUUGCGCUGUAGACCAAACGGAGCAUAAUUAAUGAUGCCUUUUCCUAAUCUAAACUUUUCCCUUAGCUGGUUCCUGUUGAUUAAAUUCUGAUGAGAAAGCUGAUCCUUUUGUUGUUUUUACUUUACUGGUUAUUUUAGUCGCCUAUGUAUUUUCAUUUAUAUUGACUAGGCUAUAGCAUCACCUGUAAAUGUAAAGAAACAAACAUUUCUUUACUUUCCCUAUAAGGCAGUAUAAUAAAUAUUCUCAAUUUUGGAUUUUUUUUAUCAAUAACGGAAAUGGCCUUCUAUUUCACUGUUUUCUGCAUCAUUCAAAAGCUAAUGCACAACUCAUAAAUCAGCAUCUUUUGUUGAUGGUUGAUCAGACACCUACUUGUUUGUGGAUUGGCCUGCAGGGUCCAUAAGCAUAAGCAUAAUUUUCUUUUGGUUUGAUUAAAGUAAAGCUUUCUUCUUCCUAUUUGUUUAUAAGUUUUAUAUUCAUUAUGCUGUACGUCAGUACUUCAGGAUCCAAAAUUUAAGAGCAACAUGCAAAUUGAACCAAAUAAAUAAUUGCAACAUAUCAUGGAAACAGUAGUUUGUUACUCCAGUACAUUGUCAUAGGCUCAUAGCAAGCUAAAAUAUGAAGGCAACCAAUCUGUGGUAACACAUCACCACAGCCCUGGUUUCCUAUGGGCAAGCAAAGUAGCAGACCACCUAUAGGGGGGAAAUGAUGGAUGGAGAAACAAUCAUGUCCUCAUGAAUUCUGUAGUUAUCUGCGAAAUUUGCAUUCUCUAACUCAUCUUAGAUACCAAAUCUUUAGUGAAUAGAGACCCACGUGCAAUUGUAAGUUAGUAAUGGAAUUUGUUAUCUAAUUUUCGGAGUAUGGUGAAGGGCCCACUCUGUUUCUUUAGGGAUAAGGGCCCACUCUGUUGUGGACGUGUAACCAGUUGAAGUGGUUGGUGUUGAGGAUUAAAAGAUUGGAACCAUCCUAAAGCAAUAUUGUUCAGCUUUAUGAGUGCAUGCCAUUAGUACGUUUGCAAGUAUUAUUAGUAUCAUGAUAUGCGUCAUUUUUGUUACACAGAAAAGGAAUCCAACCCCAUAGCUUUAGUGGAGUGUUCAUUUACAUGGUUUCGUUGGCUGUUAGCUGGCAACGGAGGCGAUUGGGCUGAUAUGACACAUUUGAUCUGAGAGGAACAGGUUUGUGUUGUGUUUCGGAAGAAGUAAGAGCCUCUGGCCUUGUGGGUAGUUAAAAUGUGAACAUCAAUGAGUUGCAGCUGAUUGCACGGGGCUCUGAUUGGGUGGUCAAAUUUGUCAGUAUUAGGAUGCACUAGCUAGCGCUAGGGUAAGCAGUGGAUACAUACAUAUAAAUAAUUAGAUUAAGCUAGAGUUACCUGCACGCAUACACCAAAGUAAUAGCAUAGGACCGGUCAAAGGUUCAAGAUGGUGGACAGUAAGUAGAUUAGAACCCCAAUUGAUCUGCACGUGUAUGCAUGAUUGGCCGGCAGACAUAUCUGAUACCUCUCUAUCAGAGGUGUAUGGCCGUAUGAGGGAGGCCAUUGCAUAGACGCAUACUCAAGUGGCGACUCAUAAGCAUCUAUUUAACUGCUGGAUAUUGCUUGCUGUUACGACUAAUUACUAUUUAAUAGUUUAAUUAAGCUUGAUUGGCAGACAAGCUAUUGUGAUCAUCUCCUUGCUUGUAUGCAUGCAGGGCUCCACUGACCACUGUACCUGCGAGGCACGUCUUGCAGAAAACAAGUGUAUGUUGGUCUUUGCUGAAAUCCUGGAAUCAGUUGUCCAGCUACUCCCUUCUCUGCCGUUGGAUUACAUCACCACAGGGACGACUGAGCUUGGUGCAGGGGACAUGUGAGGCCCCCCGCCACUGGCAUUGCCGGAGGUACGCACGACGCAGUGAGGUGCAGGACUCAAGAGACAGACGGGAGAUGGCUUGGUCAUGAUCCUGGCAUCUUGUGGUGUGGAUGAGUAUGCAAGCUAGUGCGUGGCUCAAGAAACCAAAAAAGGAUUUAGGACAUGACAAGUGCAGACAAUUUAGUCCAUUUCGCUGUAUCAGGAGCGAAAUGACGGUGCUAUGUAUGGUGGUCUUGGCGGUGAUCAACUUCGAAACGCGCUUGUGAACAGCUAUAACUCUGCUAUGCAGUCCCAGAUGCAUGCAUGGCAACUAGUGGAGUGGAGUAUGAACUCCAACAACCUGAUGAACAGCUAUCGGUGAUGUCGCGUACGUGGAGAGGUAAUUCACAAUCCCAGUUUUUGCGCUGAAUCCCUAUCUGAUGUAUGGUCUAUCUUGUUGCGUUGUUGACUGAAUAAAUAGUCCAUUUGCGUCUGUAUAAACCUAUUUGUUAUCUGAAGAUACACAGCUCAGGCUGGAAUAAAGACCAUUCCUUUUUUUUAAGAA